rnacentral:rRNA from 1 species
UGAUAGCAUAUCAAUAAGCGGAGGAAAAGAAACUAACAAGGAUUCCCCUAGUAACUGCGAGUGAAGCGGGAAAAGCUCAAAUUUGAAAUCUGGCAGUUUCUCUACUGUCCGAGUUGUAGUCUAGAGAAGUGUUUACCUGUGCUGGACCGUGUACAAGUCUUCUGGAAUGGAGCAUCAUAGAGGGUGAGAAUCCCGUCUUUGACAUGGACUACCUGUACAUUAUGGGUGCGCUCUCGAAGAGUCGAGUUGUUUGGGAAUGCAGCUCAAAAUGGGUGGUAAAUGCCAUCUAAAGCUAAAUAUUGGCGAGAGACCGAUAGCGAACAAGUACCGUGAGGGAAAGAUGAAAAGAACUUUGGAAAGAGAGUUAAACAGUACGUGAAAUUGCUGAAAGGGAAACGCUUGAAGUCAGUCGCGUUGGCUGGAAAUCAGCCUUGCUUUUGCCUGGUGUAUUUUCUGGUUGAUGGGUCAGCAUCAAUUCUGAUCACUGGAUAAAGUCUCUUGGGAAUGUGGCAUCUUUUGGAUGUGUUAUAGCCCAUGGUCGCAUAUGGUGGUUGGGAUUGAGGAAUUCAGCACGCCGCAAGGCCGGGUUUCGACCACGAUUUCGUGCUUAGGAUGCUGGCAUAAUGGCUUUAAUCGACCCGUCUUGAAACACGGACCAAGGAGUCUAACAUGCCUGCGAGUGUUUGGGUGGAAAACCCAUGCGCGAAAUGAAAGUAAAAGUUGAGAUCCCUGUAAGAGGGGAGCAUUGACGCCCGGACCAGACCUUUUGUGACGGAUCCGCGGUAGAGCAUGUAUGUUGGGACCCGAAAGAUGGUGAACUAUGCCUGAAUAGGGUGAAGCCAGAGGAAACUCUGGUGGAGGCUCGUAGCGAUUCUGACGUGCAAAUCGAUCGUCAAAUUUGGGUAUAGGGGCGAAAGACUAAUCGAACCAUCUAGUAGCUGGUUCCUGCCGAGCUCC